CGUGGGUCAUGUGGAUGGAGUGGAGACAGAAAGCAUAAUAUCUAUCCUGAUGUCCCGCCGUACUCUGGUAGCUACAGUCAGUCAGCCAGUUGCACUCGAGAUGUAUUCCUGAUUAGACAGCAAAGCCAGUAAUGAUUACCACAUCUCACUAUCGGUGGGCCAUGUGGAUGGAGUUGAGACAGAAAGCAUAUUUACCCUGGUGUCACGUCGUACUCCAGUGGCAGCAGUCAGUCAGCCAGUUGCACUCGAGAUGUCUUCCUGAUUAGACAGCAAAGCCAUGUCAUGAUGACCACAUCUCCUGAUGAGUCCACUGGCAGGGAUAAUCUUGGUGGUCAGCCCUCACAGUCAAGAUGUUUCAACUACUUGAAGACAGACACUUGGAUGAUGAUGAUGUCUGAGACAGGGAGAAGAUGCUGAUGAGCUAUGGUCAUGGUGAGGGGAUGACUGGACAAUCUUCAAGGACUGAAAUGAGGCAAAGUAUUUUUCUUUGACAUUUUUUCAGGCUUAACAUCACCGAACCGAAGACAUCUACCCAUCAAUGAUUAGAUGUCCAAGACCAGACUAGCUGCACUCUCAAGUAAAAAG